rnacentral:rRNA from 1 species
AUUGAACGCUGGCGGCAGGCUUAACACAUGCAAGUCGGGCGGAGAUGAGGUGCUUGCACCUUAUCUUAGCGGCGGACGGGUGAGUAAUGCUUAGGAAUCUGCCUAUUAGUGGGGGACAACAUUCCGAAAGGAAUGCUAAUACCGCAUACGUCCUACGGGAGAAAGCAGGGGGUCUUCGGACCUUGCGCUAAUAGAUGAGCCUAAGUCGGAUUAGCUAGUUGGUGGGGUAAAGGCCUACCAAGGCGACGAUCUGUAGCGGGUCUGCGAGGAUGAUCCGCCACACUGGGACUGAGACACGGCCCAGACUCCUACGGGAGGCAGCAGUGGGGAAUAUUGGACAAUGGGGGGAACCCUGAUCCAGCCAUGCCGCGUGUGUGAAGAAGGCCUUAUGGUUGUAAAGCACUUUAAGCGAGGAGGAGGCUACUGAGACUAAUACUCUUAGAUAGUGGACGUUACUCGCAGAAUAAGCACCGGCUAACUCUGUGCCAGCAGCCGCCGUAAAAC